UACGAAGGGGGCGAGCGUUGUUCGGAUUUACUGGGCGUAAAGGGCGCGCAGGCGGCUCAUCAAGUCAGGCGUGAAAGCCCCGGGCUUAACCUGGGAGGUGCGUCUGGGACUGGUGGGCUAGAGAUCGGGAGAGGAGAGUGGAAUUCCACGUGUAGCGGUGAAAUGCGUAGAGAUGUGGAGGAACACCAGUGGCGAAGGCGACUCUUUGGCCUGUAACUGACGCUGAGGCGCGAAAGCGUGGGGAGCAAACAGG
rnacentral:rRNA from 1 species